rnacentral:rRNA from 1 species
UACGUAGGGUGCAAGCGUUAAUCGGAAUUACUGGGCGUAAAGCGUGCGCAGGCGGUUUUGUAAGUCUGUCGUGAAAUCCCCGAGCUCAACCUGGGAAUUGCGAUGGAGACUGCAAGGCUAGAAUCUGGCAGAGGGGGGUAGAAUUCCAGGUGUAGCGGUGAAAUGCGUAGAUAUCUGGAGGAAUACCGGUGGCGAAGGCGGCAUCCUGGACCAUUACUGACGCUGAGGCGCGAAAGCUAGGGGAGCAAACGGG